rnacentral:ncRNA from 1 species
CCUAGUCUCAACCAUAAACGAUGCCGACCAGGGAUCGGCGGAUGUUGCUUAUAGGACUCCGCCGGCACCUUAUGAGAAAUCAAAGUCUUUGGGUUCCGGGGGGAGUAUGGUCGCAAGGCUUGAACUUAAAGGAAUUGACGGAAGGGCACCACCAGGCCCAGGCGUGGGCGUGGAGUGGAGCCUGAGCCUGCGGCUGCGGCUUCGGCUUAAUUCUUAAUUU